rnacentral:rRNA from 1 species
UACGUAGGUGGCAAGCGUUGUCCGGAUUUAUUGGGUUUAAAGGGUGCGUAGGCGGCCUUAUAAGUCAGUGCUGAAAUAUCCCGGCUUAACCGGGAGGGUGGCAUUGAUACUGUAGGGCUUGAGUGUAGUCGAGGUAGGCGGAAUUGACGGUGUAGCGGUGAAAUGCUUAGAUAUCGUCAAGAACACCGAUAGUGUAGACAGCUUACUAGGCUACAACUGACGCCGAGGCACGAAAGUGUGGGGAUCAAACAGG